CCGAUUUCAGCGUGUCCACAUCACAGCUCCCUCCAGUUCAUGUUGCUUCAAGUCCCUAGCACCCAGACCCAGAAGGGCCUUUACUCAUAUCUUAUUCCUUACGCAGCCUUCUGGUAGUAGUCAGCUGCUCCCUGAUUAACUAUCUCCAGGGAUGGGGCAUUCACUGCUUCUGAAGAUAACUCAUUAAAGUUCUCACUUACGUGUAAACAAACCCUGACUCCCACCUGUUCCCAUCCAAGAUCGUAUUAUAGCUUGAACUCCUGGUCUCAAGCAAUCCUCCCACCUCAGCCUCCUAAGUAGUUGGGAUUACAGGC
rnacentral:lncRNA from 10 species